GUGCAGUGAUGAAAACCUUUUCUGCUGACCUUUUAAUUGUGAAGGUUUCUACACUUGAACUGAGCUCA
ensembl:snoRNA